UUAGCUCAUGUAUAUCCUCCCCAUGCUUUUUUUUUUUUAUUUGGACUUUCCUGACCUGUUUUCACCAUGUGAACAAAUCACUUUGCUUUAUUUCCAUCCUGUAUGUAGCACUUCCUGUUGCUGUAUCCAACCAAACCCAUGAUGC